rnacentral:rRNA from 1 species
GACGAACGCUGGCGGCGUGCUUAACACAUGCAAGUCGAACGGAAAGGCCCUGCUUUUGUGGGGUGCUCGAGUGGCGAACGGGUGAGUAACACGUGAGUAACCUGCCCUUGACUUUGGGAUAACUUCAGGAAACUGGGGCUAAUACCGGAUAGGAGCUCCUGCUGCAUGGUGGGGGUUGGAAAGUUUCGGCGGUUGGGGAUGGACUCGCGGCUUAUCAGCUUGUUGGGGGGGUAGUGGCUUACCAAGGCUUUGACGGGUAGCCGGCCUGAGAGGGUGACCGGCCACAUUGGGACUGAGAUACGGCCCAGACUCCUACGGGAGGCAGCAGUGGGGAAUAUUGCACAGUGGGCGGGAGCCUGAGGCAGCAACGCCGCGGGCGGGAUGACGGCCUUCGGGUUGUAAACCGCUUUCGCCUGUGACGAAGCGUGAGUGACGGUAAUGGGUAAAGAAGCACCGGCUAACUACGUG